UACGUAGGGUGCGAGCGUUAAUCGGAAUUACUGGGCGUAAAGCGUGCGCAGGCGGUUGUGUAAGACAGGUGUGAAAUCCCCGGGCUUAACCUGGGAACUGCGCUUGUGACUGCACGGCUAGAGUACGGCAGAGGGGGGUGGAAUUCCACGUGUAGCAGUGAAAUGCGUAGAGAUGUGGAGGAAUACCGAUGGCGAAGGCAGCCCCUCGGGUCGAAU
rnacentral:rRNA from 1 species